AGCUCUUAUAGCUCAACGGUAGAGCGGGAUACUGUUAAUAUCUUGAUAGAUGUUCGAUUCAUCUUAAGGGCUU
rnacentral:tRNA from 1 species